AUUGAACGCUGGCGGCAGGCCUAACACAUGCAAGUCGAACGAGUGGCGGACGGGUGAGUAAUGUCUGGGAAACUGACUGAUGGAGGGGGAUAACUACUGGAAACGGUAGCUAAUACCGCAUACCAUCGGAUGUGCCCAGAUGGGUUUAGCUAGUCGGUGGGGUAAAGGCUCACCUAGCCGACGAUCCCUAGCUGGUCUGAGAGGAUGACAAGCCACACUGGAACUGAGACACGGUCCAGACUCCUACGGGAGGCAGAAGUGGGGAAUAUGGCACAAUGGGCGCAAGCCUGAUGCAGCCAUGCCGCGUGUAUGAAGAAGGCCUGCGGGUUGUAAAGUACUUUCAGCGGGGAGGCGUUACCCGCAGAAGAAGCACCGGCUAACUCCGUGCCAGCCGCCGCGGUAAUAC
rnacentral:rRNA from 1 species